rnacentral:rRNA from 1 species
AGCCAAUAGAUACCCCGGUAGUCCACGCCCUAAACGAUGUCAACUAGUUGUUGGGGGAGUAAAACUCCCUUAGGUAAACGCAGCUAAACGCGUGAAAGUUGACCGCCUGGGGAGUACGGUCGCAAGAUUAAAACUCAAAGGAAUUGACGGGGGCCCGCACAAGCGGUGGAUUAUGUGGAUUAAUUCGAUGCAACGCGAAAAACCUUACCUGGCCUUGACAUGCCACUAACGAAGCAGAGAUGCAUUAGGUGCCCGAAACGGGAAAGUGGACACAGGUGCUGCGUGGCUGUCGUCAGCUCGUGUCGUGAGAUGUUGGGUU